CCUGGAGCUGAAGCAGCGAGACG
rnacentral:piRNA from 1 species